ensembl:lncRNA
UCUUGUUUCAUAAUGUAUUGAUCAGAACCUUCUCUCUCUCUUUUUUAAAAGUGAGUCUAAUUAAAGGUUUCUCAAUUUUGUUUCCCUUUCCAAAGAACCAGUACUUAGUUUGAUUGACCUUUUAAAAAAUAUUUAUUUCUGUAUCUGGGUGCACUCUGCCUUAGUUGUGGACUCGGUAUCUUUAGUUGCGGCAUGCAAAGUCUUAGUUGUCGCAUGUACUAUCGAGAUCCUGGACCAUGGAUCAAACUCAGGCCUCCUGAUUGGGAGCAUGGAGUCCCAGUGGACUUAGCUACUGGAUCACCAGGGAACUCCCUGAUUGAUCUUUUCUACUGUCUUUUUAGUCUCUGUUUUAUUUAUUUCCACACUAAUUUUAUCAUUUCCUUCAUUCUCCUGACUUUGGGCUUUGUUUGUUUCUCUUUUCUAGUUUCUUUAGGUGUAUGGCUAGAAUGUUAUUUGAAAUUUUCCUUCUUUCUUUAGGUGGGCCCAUAUUGCUGUAAACUCCUCUCUCACUUUUCUAGUUCUCUUCUCAAAGAUGGCUUCUUCAUUUCAUACCAUUGUGAGUGGAAUAUAGGAUAUAUGUGAUUUCUACUUAAAUGUGUUGAGAUUUGUUUUGGGUUCCAAUAUAUGAUCUAUCCUUGAGCAAUCGAGCCAGGAGCAGUACCCAUGGCUGACAACUCAGAGAAAUGGAUGCGUUGGUGAGUGAGUAGUCUGAGCCACAGAUUGGGUACCCCAGUCCUAGGGUCCUGUGUGUUUGAUACAAGCCUGUCUGGUGGGAGAAGCGCUGGGACGAGAAGAAGAGCUAUAGGAAGAUAGGACUAUGCUCAUGAGGAGCACACAUUGACUAGUCCAUGAGGCAGGGAAGACAGAGGUCUACUCAAGUAGCUGCUGUUUUACCACAACCAACUCACCACACACUCCAGCCCCAGUGGAAUGAACACACCAGUCCUCCUCCCUCCAUGGCACUGGAUCUGGAGCAGUCACUGUGAGGGAAGAGUUGACGGAGGGACACAGAGAUAA